GUUGGCUGUUAUUAUCGGUGACUCAUUUAUUUCACCACAUGAGAUGUUAAAGAAGAUAGUAACAUGAGAUAUUUCAAGACUUGUGUAACCUUGGACCUACGAACAAAAAGUGAAGGAUAAGAUACCAAAACCAUGGAAUUCCUGUAAAGCUCUUUGGUGAGGAGUGAUGUAAAGAAGAUAUUGUGGUUGCCAGUCAUGCACAAGGUGCAGUUUCAAUCAUUAUUAGCCUUUAAGCAGUGGUGGGCGCAAUGGAAGACAACAUAGUUUGUUGAGUAGACUCCACUGCCAGGGGCGGAUUCGGUGCUCGCUUGCAUUUGGAUCCUUCGAUUUCCUGUCGGUUUCAACUUUGGAUCUCCAUGAUUGAAGCAAUUUUAACUCGCCUUAUCAUUAUCAAAUGAUGGAGAUGCUGGGCAGGUGGAGGGAGGAGAGCCAGUAUCUCAAACCACACUUCUCAACCCUUAAUCAAUAGAUAAGAAACGACCGAGUACAGGUACCGAGUCAACUUUAAUAUUACAACUCGGCUUCAUUGGAAAGAUUCUCCAUAGAAAGAAAGAUUUCUAACCUUUCUUCUUCUUGGAAUAAUUUUGAUAGAUGGUAUUGAUUAACUAAGUCCAAGGAUGCCUCACCUACUCGAAUAAAGUAAACCAUAAUGAUGCUUUAACCCUGACUCUUCUA